rnacentral:rRNA from 1 species
UACGUAGGGUGCGAGCGUUAAUCGGAAUUACUGGGCGUAAAGCGUGCGCAGGCGGUUUUGUAAGCCAGAUGUGAAAUCCCCGGGCUUAACCUGGGAAUGGCAUUUGGGACUGCAAGGCUUGAGUGCGGCAGAGGAGACUGGAAUUCCUGGUGUAGCGGUGAAAUGCGCAGAUAUCAGGAGGAACACCGGUGGCGAAGGCGGGUCUCUGGGCCGUAACUGACGCUGAGGAGCGAAAGCGUGGGGGAGCGAACAGG